rnacentral:rRNA from 1 species
UACGGGAGGCAGCAGUGGGGAAUAUUGGGCAAUGGGCGCAAGCCUGACCCAGCGACGCCGCGUGGGGGAUGAAGGCCUUCGGGUUGUAAACCCCUGUCAGGGGAGACGAAAGUCCUGCGCCGAACAGGCGCAGGAUCUGACGGUACCCCCAAAGGAAGCCCCGGCUAACUCCGUGCCAGCAGCCGCGGUAAUACGGAGGGGGCGAGCGUUAUUCGGAAUUACUGGGCGUAAAGCGUGCGCAGGCGGUUCGUCAAGUCUGAUGUGAAAGCCCCGGGCUCAACCUGGGAAUGGCAUGGGAAACUGGCGAGCUGGAGUGCGGCAGAGGGGGGUGGAAUUCCGCGUGUAGCAGUGAAAUGCGUAGAGAUGCGGAGGAACACCGACGGCGAAGGCAGCCCCCUGGGCCGACACUGACGCUCAGGCACGAAAGCGUGGGGAGCAAACAGGAUUAGAUACCCUGGUAGUCCACGCCCUAAACGAUGUCGACUGGGUGUUGGGAGAGAGAUCUCUUGGUACCGUAGCUAACGCGUGAAGUCGACCGCCUGGGGAGUACGGCCGCAAGGUUAAAACUCAAAGGAAUUGACGGGGA